rfam:Microdochium bolleyi strain J235TASD1 unplaced genomic scaffold Micbo1qcscaffold_3, whole genome shotgun sequence.
GCCCGGUUAGCUCAAUCGGUAGAGCGUGAGACUCUUACAAACAGCAGAAACAUGCCCUCCUCUCUCUUGUCUCCACGCCCUCGUCGGAUCAGAGACGUACAGGAUCAGCAUAAUCUCAAGGUUGCGGGUUCGACCCCCGCAUCGGGCU